AUGAGGGAUGCAGAGCAGCUGAGGCUCCGUUUGGCACCGCCGCUCCGAGGGCGUCCUGCGCCCUCCAAGGCCCGGUCCCAGGGGCUGCGGGGAAGCCGGGCCCGGGGACCCCCUCCCACCCUGGGCCGAGCCCCCCGCUCCCUGUGCGGCCUGUCCCAGGCUUCCAGGUCUCUGCUUCCGCGCGCCAGGCGGCGCUCCACCUCCGCGGCAUCGCCCGUGACAGCGCCCUGUGGAUCCUCCGCAGUUCCGCGUCCCAGAUUCGGUGCCCCGAACCCGUGCAGACGUGGUCUGUGGGGCCCAGGCCCGCUGGCCCCUGCGGCUCCCGAAGCCGAAGAACUUCUUCAAGGAGCAAUGCGAGUGGGAGCACCAGGAGCCCAAUCUCAGAGUGGGACACCACGGAUUGUUUUAUGAAAACGGCAGCUGGGAUGUGGAGGAAGAGCCCCCUGCAAGUUGGACAGGAGCCACAAGCUGCACUCUGAACCUGACCACUCUGCACCAAUGCCAUCGGCCCGUGGGUCUCCGAGGGGACCUGCCAAUUGGACUGCAAAUUCCCCAGUUUGCCCCCAGGUAUUAUAGAAAAUUAUUUGUGUAAAUAAUGUAAAGAAAACACACCUAUGGCAAAAACAUAUGCAUGCUCUUUCACACAGGGUGAAAUCAUAACUGGCCUCAUCUAAACAUUUCCUUAAAGAUCAGCCAAAUCUAGGUCAAUUCUGGUAAACAUAUUAUAUUCAACCUUAAAGGUUGCCACCAUUAGAUGCAUGGCUAUGGUAGUAUGGUACCUACCUCUAAACUAGUGAAUCGAAUGCAGGUAAGAAUUCAGAAAUGCCCCCAGAUUAUUUCAAAGCCAAAUUUCAGCUAAGGUCUCCACAAAAUGGCUAUUUUCAAACAUAGCACAUUCUGACUGGGUUUGCUGAGGUACUUUCCCUCGUACAUUUUUUUUGUCCUGGGACUGGGGGUUGUGGAAGGAAAGACUGCUUUGCAAUAUUGCAUAAUAAAUAUGGUUCUAAAAGUGCAGGUGUUAGAAAUAUCUUCCCUAAUUAACCACACUCCUAUGUAAGUGAAAAGGAAAUCUGAAAAUUUUAGUGGCAAAUUACUUCUUCUGAAACUAAUCUUAAUGUUGGACUUCUUUAUUCAUUAGUUUCUCUUUGAUAUUCGUAUCAUCCCCGUAACUCACUCUUCUUUCACACCAACCUGCACCCCGCAAGGCUGUUGUAAAGAAUUACCUUUAAAAAAUCUUAUAAGCAGCUGGAACAUUUUCAUUCCAGUUAUCAACGAGAUCGUUCAUGGUUCUUUAACUAGAAUAGAAAUGUUAGAAAAAGAAUAAAAUCUGUUGUAGUUUUACAUAAAGAACACUACUUCCAAUUUUAUACAGAACUAUAAAUUAAAAUAAACUAAUGGAAAUAGUUAUUUGUAAAUAAUUACUUUGAUCAUCAACUUUUGAUCUCUAUUCUCCUCCAAAGCAUUCAUACUUCAGGGUCUCACGAUUUAGGUCCAAGUCUCCUCUGUGUCACUAAAUGUCUACCACUUUCCCUUUCCACACCCCAUAGAGCCCAGAUGCCAGAGAAAUAAAAGGUUAAAAAACAAGCAUCCUGGCUGGGUGCAGUGGCUCCUGGUUGUAAUCCCAGCACUUUGGGAGGCCGAGGUGGGAGGAUCUCAUUGAGCUCCAGAAUUUGAGACCGGCGUGGGCAAUAUGGCAAGACCCCGUGUCUCUACUGAAAAUACAAAAAUUAGCCAGGCGUAGUGGUGUGUGCCUGUAAUCCCAGCUACCCAGGAGGCUAAGGCAGGAGAUUCAUUGAAUCUGCAAGGUAGAGGUUGCACUGAGCUGAGAUCGUGACACUGCAUUCCAGCUUGGGUGACAGAGCAAGACUGUCUCAAAAAAAGAAAGAAAGAGAAAGAAAGGAAGAAAGGAAGAAAGAAAGAAAGGAAGAAAGAAAGAAAGAAAGAAAGAAAGAAAGAAAGAAAGAAAGAAAGAAAGAAAGAAAGAAAGAAAGAAAGAAAGAAAGAAGGAAAGAAGGAAAGAAAGAAAGAAAAGAAAGAAGGAAAGAAGGAAGGAGAAAAAGAAAGAAAGAAAGAGAAAGAAAGAAAAAACUGUUAAUUGUUUUAAAAACAAAAUCAUUCCCAACGUAUGUUCCCUCACAUUCCUAAAUUUUUGCAAGUGCUGUCUCUUCUAUCUACGAAAAGUGUUUCUACUUCGUUGGAAACGUUGAUGUUACAUAACACUCAACUCUGACCUACAAAGAAUAAGUCUGGCUUCCUAUGACGUUCCAGGAGACAGCGAAAGGCAGCUUGAAAAGCAUCCUCCCAUCCCGGGUCUGGUAUUCCAGUGCACCCACAACUUCCCUCCCUCUUGCAGAUCCCAACACAUACUGAGCUGCUCAUGGCUCCAUCGCUGGGCUCGCAUUCUUCUCAUUGCUGGAAUGGAAUGACCUUCCUCUGCUUGCUUCACUUGCCUCGAUAGCUUUUAAGGUUCUCUUUUAAAUUUUACCACCAGGCCCUAAAUUUCAUCCACCAUACAUGAGGAUGAUCCUAGGUGGACAUCAGAAUCCAAUUGGACAUCCCGUCUCCAGGUGGAUAAUAGACCCCUGGUGGAUGUCCAGCCCCAGGUUGACACCAAGGCUCCAGGCAAACACCAGGCCCAAGGUGAGCAUUAGGCUUCCGGUAAACACCAGACCCAUGUGGAUUACUAGGCCUCCGGCAGACGUCAGGCCCCAGGUGUACCCUCGGGCCCCAGGUGAGUAUCUAUGCCCCAGCUGAACAUCAGUCAACAGGUGGAUGCCCAAGCCCUUGGUAAACACCAGACAACAAAUGAACAUCAGGCCCCAGAGAGACAUUUGGUCCAGGUGGAUACCUAGGUGGCCUGGUGAACCUCAGGCUCCUGAUAACCACCCAGGCCACAGAAAGAUAACAGGCCACACCUAAACACCCAGGCCUCAGGUGGGUAUCAGGCCCCAGCUAAACACCAGGCCCCAAGUGGACACUGAACUCAGGUGCCAGGCUGACACCCAGGCCCAGUUGCACACCAGGUCAUAGGGGAAUAUCAGGCCCCGAGAGGAUACUCAAGCCCCAAGUAGGUAUCAGACUGCAGGUGAACACCCAUCCCCAGAAGAACACCCAGAACACCCAUCCCCAGAGGCUACGCAAGCCCCAAGUAGCCAUCAGGCCCCAAGCGAACACCAAGCCCGACGUGGAUAUCAGAACCCAGGUAGGCACCCGGCCUAGGGAGUACUCCUAGGCCCCAGGUAGACAAGGUCCCACGUGCACACGUGGCACCAGGUGAAUAAUCAGUCCCAAUGUGGACACAGGAUCCCAGGUGAACAUCAGGCUCAAGGCUGACAGCCAGGCACCAGGUUUACAUGAGGACUCAAGUGAAAACUUCACUCCGAAUGGACAUCAGACCCCAGGCGAAAUUCAGACCCAAGUGAAUACCAAGUGAUACCUAGGCUCCACUUGGACAGCUAGUCCCCAGGAUUUCAGGCCCUAGGGUGACACCAGGCUCCAGGUGGACAUCAGGCUCAUGGUAGAAAUUAAGAUACAAGUGACACCUAAGAAUUCGGUAAACAGGAGAGCACAUGUAAAUACUAGGCGCCAGGUGAACACCCACGCCCAGGAUGACACCAGGCCCCAGGUGAACAUCACGUCCAGGGUAACAUCAGGCCUCAUAUGGAUACCUAGAUGCCUGGUGAACGUGAACAUCAGGCCACAGAUUGAAACCAAAGCCACAGAAGGGUAUCAGACCCCAUGUAAAACCAGGCCCAGGUGGGAUCAAGACCCCCCGGUAAACAGCAG
rnacentral:lncRNA from 1 species